AAAUAAUUGAUGCAAUAUCGACUCGGUUGAUUAAAAUUCUAGGUAGAAUUAUGAUAAUGACAUUGUCUGCCUAUGUGUCUUGGCCAAAUUACGUGCCAGCAGUCGCGAUAAUACGUAGAAGACUAGUGUUAUUCAUCUUUAAUAGGUUUAAAGGGUACCUAGACGGUAAAUCAAGCCUGCAAUAUGGGACUAAUGUACUAGAGUUACUUAUGAGGGGGUUUUAAAGUACUGCUGGUGUAGAGAUGAAAUUCUGUCAUACCUUGUUUCGUAAUAGAAAUUAUGGCACAGGUAUAGGCGAAAGCAUCCUCUUAUGUGAUAACUGACGUUGAAGGACGAAGGCUUUGUGUAGCGAACAGGAUUAGAUACCCCAGUAGUCAAAGCAGAAAAUGAUGAAUGUCAUAGAUUAGACAUAUAAUAGUUUUUUCUAUAAAUGAAAGUGUAAGCAUUCCACCUCAAGAGUAAUUUGGCAACAUUGGAACUGAAAUCAUUAGACCGUUUCUGAAACCAGUAGUGAAGUAUGUUGUUUAAUUUGAUAAUCCGCAAAAAACCUUACCACAAUUUGAAUAUUUAGAUUACNCUUGCCUUUUCUUUUNNUUUGNGUNNUNNNUUGNCANUGNNNNUNGCNNGCAAAGCANGCANCAAGANAAGUCAUUACAAGUNNNGUNNNCUAANANNNNNNAGAGAUAUAUUUACAAGCGUUGCACGGCUGUCUUCAGUUAAUGUCGUGAGAUUCUGGUUAGUUCCAUUAAUUAACGUAAACCCUUACUUUAUUUUUAUAUAGAGUUGUUCCCCGCUAGAUUGGAUAAGAUAACAGGGACUAGGACAAGUCAUCAUGGCCUAAAUAUUGUGGGCUAUAGACGUGCCACAUAAACCUUACAAAAGGAUGUGAAU
rnacentral:rRNA from 1 species